AACGAACGCUGGCGGCAUGCCUAACACAUGCAAGUCGAACGAGACCUUCGGGUCUAGUGGCGCACGGGUGCGUAACGCGUGGGAACCUGCCCUUAGGUUCGGAAUAACUCCCCGAAAGGGGUGCUAAUACCGGAUAAUGUCUUCGGACCAAAGAUUUAUCGCCUUUGGAUGGGCCCGCGUUGGAUUAGCUAGUUGGUAGGGUAAAAGCCUACCAAGGCGACGAUCCAUAGCUGGUCUGAGAGGAUGAUCAGCCACACUGGGACUGAGACACGGCCCAGACUCCGCGGGGAGGCAGAGGGGGGGAUUAUGGAAGAAGGGGCAAAAGCCGGAUCAAGCAAUGCGGGGUGAGUGAGGAGGGCGUAGGGGUUGAAAACUUCUUUUCCCGGGGAUAAUAAUAAGAGACCGGGGAAAAAAGGCCCGGGCAAGCCCGGGC
rnacentral:rRNA from 1 species